GAUGAACGCUGGCGGAGUGCCUAAUACAUGCAAGUCGAACGGCAGCGCGAGUAGUUUACUGCUUGGCGGCGAGCGGCGGACGGCUGAGUAACGCGUGGGAACGUGCCCCAAAGUGAGGGAUAACCACCCGAAAGGGUGGCUAAUACCGCAUAUGAUCUUCGGAUUAAAGGAUUUAUCCGCUUUGGGAGCGGCCCGCGUACGAUUAGAUUGUUGGUGAGGUAAUGGCUCACCAAGUCGACGAUCGUUAGCUGGUCUGAGAGGAUGAUCAGCCAGACUGGGACUGAGACACGGCCCAGACUCCUACGGGAGGCAGCAGUAAGGAAUCUUCCACAAUGGGGGCAACCCUGAUGGAGCAACUCCGCGUGCAGGACGAAGGCCUUCGGGUCGUAAACUGCUUUUAUGAGUGAAGAAUAUGACGGUAACUCAUGAAUAAGGAUCGGCUAACUACGUGCCAGCCGCCGCGGUAA
rnacentral:rRNA from 1 species